CGCGGGAUGGAGCAGUUCGGUAGCUCGUCGGGCCCAUAACCCGAAGGUCGUUGGUUCAAAUCCAGCUCCCGCAA
rnacentral:tRNA from 1 species